UAUUGUUGAUGCUCAACUUCCCGUCUUUGGCCAGUAGGAGCCGCCUCAGUCUCCCGAGUCCGUCGGACAUGGCCCUGAAAUCUCGGAUUGCUUCCUCGCGACCUGGAGCCGCCUCAGUCUCCCGAGUCCGUCGGACAUGGCCCUGAAAUCUCGGAUUGCUUCCUCGCGACCUGGUGCUCGUCCAAGUCACGUCGUCAGCUGGGGCUGUCACCGGAGGACGAGACUGCCCGUUGCCCUUUGCAUCAGUCACAUGAAAUCUCUCCGUGGACCGUGCGGCUCCUCUAGCUCUGGUUUCAUUUGUGAUCACACUUUGAAAAGUGGCGAUAACACACUGUGGGUUCUUGUCAUUUCUUCAUGAAAGAAAUAAUAUAUAUCAACAAGAUAUUUAAAGUUGCCCAUCGUCCUUCCACUCAGAACCGAAGUUACACCUGCCGCCUGCCCUUCCAGAUUCCCUCCUCCGAGGCUGACGCGCACACGCUGGUGAAGGCGCGUCGGGACUGUUCUCGUUGUAACAGGAAACCCCGCCGGCAGCGGCACGCACAGGAGGAACACGCGUCGUCUCACACGGUGCCCCCUGGAGGGGGUCCACUCCAGGACUGCUGAGCGCACUGGCCCAGCCGGGUCACCGAAAACGCCGGGCCUUCUGUCUCUCUGCUCCGCCGCCCUCCAGCGCUGGGAGGCCUUCCCUCGCGUCUCAGCACGGCCGGGCAGGCCCCGACUCGGUGGUCCGUCAUUGUGGGAGGCAGAGGCCAGCCAGUGGGAAGGGGGCGUUUCCCUUCCUUGCGUGUCUCUGUGAGGGCGGGGGAACACUUCCAGAAAUUCCCCGAGACGGUGCUUCGCUCUGCCGCCAGAAUCGGGUCGAUGGCGCAUCCCUCCGCCAUUCCCAGGCGCGGGGAGUGGGAGGACCAGGAGCGGCUUGGGCUGGGGGUGGGCCUGCUUUCCCCGUGACGCGUGUGGUCGCCCGUCAUCCCCCCGAAAUGGGUUUUCUUAGCAAAGACGGCAGGGCCCAGGGUAGAAAGUGGUGGUUGGGUGGGUGGCCUACAGAUCUGCCCCAUUUGGGGGUUCAUGGGUAUCUGAGGAGUCAUGUCUGUACUUUAAAAAGAAAUACAAGAUUUCUACUACUUUGAUUCAUUUUUAAUCAUUUUAGAAUCUCAAACACUUAAGGAGAAGACGAAAUUCUUCUCUCUAAAGAUGGUAAGAUGCUACUGGCCUAACAUACUGUAAACAUCUCCAUACCCUUAAAUCUUUAAUCGCUGGCAUUUUAUUAUUUUUCUCACCAAUUCCCCGUCGAUGGGCAGAGGCUCUUUGCGGUUUCUCCUCGUUGUAGACAUCGCCAGGACGGCCGCCCUCGGGCCGAGUUUCGUGCGCCCUGCUCUUGGGCUCUGAAGGGAAGGGCUGUGUCAAGGCACAGGACGCGUCCUGGCUUUUGAAAGGUGUCCGCACGUUGUCCUCCAGAAAGGUCUUGACCAGCUGGCCCUCCACCAGCAGGUGGUCACUUUGCCACAAUAUAAACCAACUACGUUUUUGUGGGGUGUUUUUUUUUUGC